UGGGGAAUAUUGGACAAUGGGGGCAACCUUGAUCCAGCCAUGCCGCGUGAGUGAUGAAGGCCUUAGGGUUGUAAAGCUCUGUUGUCAGGGAAGAAAGGUACUUUUGUGAAUAAUGGGAGUAAAUGACGGUACCUGACGAGGAAGCCACGGCUAACUACGUGCCAGCAGCCGCGGUAAUACGUAGGUGGCAAGCGUUGUCCGGAAUUAUUGGGCGUAAAGAGUACGUAGGCGGCAAGGUAAGUCUGAUGUGAAAUGCGGGAGCUUAACUUCCGAACGGCAUUGGAUACUGCUUUGCUAGAGCAAUGGAGGGGAAACCGGAAUUCUCGGUGUAGCAGUGAAAUGCGUAGAUAUCGAGAGGAACACUCGUGGCGAAGGCGGGUUUCUGGACAUUAGCUGACGCUGAGGUACGAAGGCCAGGGUAGCGAAAG
rnacentral:rRNA from 1 species